AGAAAAGUGAGGAAAGUGUGGAAGGCAAGGAACAUGCACACAGCAAGGAAUCUAAAGAGAAGAGGAAGGAACAUGAUCAUAUUAAACAGUUUUCAGGUGCAUUUUAUUUCACAUUAAAAUCAAACUCUACUUUUUUUACAUAUCCGCCUGGAUUUGUUUUUAAGCAAGUUGUCACAAA